UGGGGAAUAUUGCGCAAUGGGCGAAAGCCUGACGCAGCAACGCCGCGUGAGUGAUGAAGGCCUUCGGGUCGUAAAGCUCUGUCGGAGGGAACGAAUGCUCUUGAGGUUAACAGCCUCGGGAGGUGACGGUACCCUCAAAGGAAGCACCGGCUAACUCUGUGCCAGCAGCCGCGGUAAUACAGAGGGUGCAAGCGUUGUUCGGAAUCAUUGGGCGUAAAGGGCGUGUAGGCGGUAUGUUAAGUCAUGUGUGAAAUCCCUCGGCUCAACCGGGGAACGACGCAUGAAACUGAGGAGCUAGAGUGUGGAAGAGGGGGGUGGAAUUCCAGGUGUAGCAGUGAAAUGCGUAGAGAUCUGGAGGAACACCAAUGGCGAAGGCAGCCCCCUGGGCUAACACUGACGCUCAUGCACGAAAGCGUGGGGAGCAAACAGGAUUAGAUACCCACGUAGUCCCUGAGCGGGCUGGCAAGGCGCAU
rnacentral:rRNA from 1 species